AUUUUUUUUUUUUUAACGGAGUAAAAAUUAACUCUCCUUAAAUCAGAGGAUGAAGGAAGAAAAUAUGGGAAAACUUUAACACGUACCAUAGACUAGACAAAAAUCUGUUGAUUUUAUUUUCUGACAGAAGACAUAGUCCCUGUGCUCUGCAUCCUUAGAGGGGCAGGGGAUGGGGGAUGAGCAGAAGAAAUGAACGGAGCAAAGUGAGUCAGAACUGGAAGGGGGUCGAGCUUAAGCAAGACGAGAAAGGGAAAAGUUGCCUUCGAAAAGAAGUCCAACUUUCCACCUUUCUGGACUUAAGAGAAAAGUAAAAUCAAUUUUUCUCGAGUGAAGCCUGGGAAGCAGAUGUUUUUAAAAACACAGGAAGCGAUUUUGCCAUCAAAAGCAGGGUUGUAAUAAAAGCAGC
rnacentral:lncRNA from 1 species